ensembl:rRNA 5S_rRNA 5S ribosomal RNA
GCUUACGGCCACACCAGCCUGAAAGCGCCCGAUCUCGUCUGACCUCGCAAGCCAAGCGGUGUCGGGCCUGGUUAGUACCUGGAUGGGAGACCGCCUGGGAAUACCAGGUGCUGUAAGCU